rnacentral:rRNA from 1 species
AUUGAAAGCUGGCGGCAGGCCUAACACAUGCAAGUCGAACGAGUGGCGGACGGGUGAGUAAUGUCUGGGAAACUGCCUGAUGGAGGGGGAUAACUACUGGAAACGGUAGCUAAUACCGCAUACCAUCAGAUGUGCCCAGAGGGGAUUAGCUAGUUGGUGGGGUAACGGCUCACCAAGGCGACGAUCCCUAGCUGGUCUGAGAGGAUGACCGCCAACACUGGACCGGAGACACGGUCCAGACUCCUACGGGAGGCAGCAGUGGGGAAGAUUGCACAAUGGGCGCAAGGCUGAUGCAGCCAUGCCGCGGGUAUGAAGAAGGCCUUCGGGUGGUAAAGUACUCUCAGCGGGGAGGCGUUACCCGCAGAAGAAGCACCGGCUAACUCCGUGCCAGCAGCCGCGGUAAUUC